AUCCUUCUGUAGUUCAUAAGCAUGAUGAUCAGAUGUUCACGCGCCUGCGUGAUGUGUGCCUCCCUCAAACCUUGUUACAACAUUGGCACAUUACCCAUCUGACG